UGAGUAACACGUAUCCAACCUGCCGUCUACUCUUGGACAGCCUUCUGAAAGGAAGAUUAAUACAAGAUGGCAUCAUGAGUCCGCAUGUUCACAUGAUUAAAGGUAUUCCGGUAGACGAUGGGGAUGCGUUCCAUUAGAUAGUAGGCGGGGUAACGGCCACCUAGUCUUCGAUGGAUAGGGGUUCUGAGAGGAAGGUCCCCCACAUUGGAACUGAGACACGGUCCAA
rnacentral:rRNA from 1 species